rnacentral:lncRNA from 1 species
AGGAGGACAAAGAACCAAAAAAUUCAUGAUACAUACAGAAAACAAAUAACAAAAUAGCAGAUAUGAACGCAACCACACUAAUAAUUAUAUUAAAUGUGAGUACACUAACUGCUGCUAUCAAAAUAUGGGGAAAUGGGCAUGGUGGCUCACACUUGUAAUCCUAGCACUGCUAUCCAGCCUGGGUGACAGAGUGAGACUCUGUCUCAAAAAAAAAACACACAAAAAAAAAAACGGGGGCAGACACGUGGCUCAUGCCUGUAACCCCAGCACUUUGGGAGGUCGAGGCAGGCAGAUCACUUGAGGUCAGGAGUUCGAGACCAGCCUGGCCAACAUGGUGAAACCCCAUAUCUACUAAAAAUACAAAAAAUUAGCUGGGCAUGGUGGCGGGUGCCUGUAAUCCCAGCUACUUGGCAGGCUGACGCAGGAGAAUCGCUUGAACCUGGGAGGCGGAGGUCUGCAGGCAGAGUGUUGAGUCACAUGGUAACUAUAUAUUUAACUUUCAGAAACUAAUGAUUUUCCACAGCAGCUGCACUACUUUACAUUCCCACUAGCAAAGCACAAAGGUUCCAAUUUCUCUACAUCCUUGCCAACACUUGUUUUUUUAAAUUUUUUUAUUUUUUGAGAUGGAGUUUCACUCUUGCUGUCCAGGCUGGAGUGCAAUGGCACAGUCUUGGCUCACUGCAACCUCCAGUGCCCGGGUUCAAGCGAGUCUCCUGCUUCAGCCUCCCUAGUAGCUGGGAUUACAGGCACCCCCCAUCCCACCAUGCCCAGCUAAUUUUUUGUAUUUUUAGUAGAGAUGGGGUUUCACCAUGUUGGCCAGGCUGGUCUCGAACUCCCAACCUCAGGUGAUCCGCCUGCCUCAGCCUCCCAAAGUGCUGGGAUUACAGGCGUGAGCCACCAUGCCCGGCCAGAAAACUAAACUCUUAAAAACUUGUACUAAAUCUUAAUAGCAUUUUCUAGUUUACAAUGAAUGUCCCAAUAAUAAACUACAA